rnacentral:lncRNA from 1 species
UAACUGCUGUUUGAACGCUGUACUGUAGAAGGCACAGACUGAGAUGCUGGAUCAACUGCGCAUGCCUGUCUUUGUGACCGGCUGCUAUCGAUCCUUCCGAGCCCGUGUGCCACGCUGGAAAGCUGCAUCUAAGAGUUAAGAUUUACUGGCUUAAAAGCGUGUGUGUCGUGGGAUUGCGCGGUGGCUCAGUAAGUAAGUGCUUGCCUUGCACACACAAAGACCUAACUGUUCAAUGUGCAGCUCCUAUGUUUAAAAAUCUAGUUGAGCAUUGUGGCACACACUUAUAAUCUCAGCUCUAAAGAAGCAAAGACCGUGGCUCCCUGGGGCUCACUGGUAGCCAGCAGCCAAACUGGUGAGUUGCAGGUAAAAGUGAGAGUUUUUUUUUUUUUUCUCACAAAACAUGAUGGAUUAUGAGGAACUACAGUUGAGAUUGUCCUCUGGUCUCCACAGACACAUAUGUACUCAUACCUAUACAUAGUCAUGCACCUGCAAACACACACACACACACACACACACACACACACACACACACACACACACUCACACACACACACUCACACACACACUCACAUACACUCACAUAUACACUCACAUACACACACACUAACAUAUACACACACUCACACACACUCACAUACACACACUCACAUACACACACACACUCACACAUACUCACACACACUCACACACACACACUCACAUACACACACUCACACACACACACUCACACACACACUCACAUACACACACUCACAUACACACACACACCAACAUACACACACACUCACACACACUCACAUACACACACACACACACACUCACAUACACACACUCACGUGCAUGCACACAGGUCAUUGUGAGAAUUCAAUGUGAACAUCUUUGAAAUGCAGUUUCAAAUCUCCCACACGCUGACAAGAGCCACGUGAACCAUUGUGCAGCACUGCACCCAUUUGACAGAUGAGAGCAUGGAUACCUAACCGGAGCCUGGCAGGUCUUGGACAGCAGAGGCCACCCUGCAUCUGACACCAUCUCUUGUAAUCCAUGACUUCUCUUCCUGCCUCCAUGAAUCUCCAGAUAACAGAUUCCUGCCCUCCUAAAAGAUGGGUAUGUUUACACACUUCUAUUGAAAGUUGAUGCUCACAUAGAAUCAUAGUCAGGCAUUGUAGUGGGCCCAGAAAGGCAGGCAAGGCACAUGCAGGUUUCUCUAGGUUGGUAGCCAUGACGCUUGGGCUUUUCCGGUGUCCUUGACUAGAUCAUUUCCCUCACACCCCAAAAUAAUUUGAGCAGAUGUUUCAUCUCUAUGCAACUAGUCUUAGUGCUACCAUCACCAGCUUUCUUCUGUGGUUUCUCUUGGUCUUUCCUUCUUAACUCUACAAGACCACACCACAUAUUCCUUUCUCCUCACCAGGACAUGGCAGAGUGUCUGUAGUGUUUGGAGGAUUAUGAAAUACAAGGCUUCACAGAAACCCAAGGCCCACAGAUCCUCCAAGCUGUAGCUGAUUGCGCUGGUGCUUUCGUCCAUUUCCGUCCUUUUAUCCUCAUUCACUGAGAGGGAACUGCGGGGGUGGAGGGUGGGGGGAGUGGGGAGGGGGUGUAAGGCUUUGCCUUAGCAGCGUUUGACCACGUGACUUGCUUAGGCCAAUGGACAGAGAGUGGAUCUGGCAGACGCCAUGUCUGGGCACUUCUCGGCGUAGUUACAUGGGUGUUUUCUACUUGAACUGACAUCCUAGCAGGCUCCUGGGCGAUGCAGAUGCUGGCAUUCUGGGCACUGCCCUUUGGAAAGCUAUGAUGACCACUGAAGCAGAACAGACCAAAGCAAAGAGGUGGGAAAGUCGCGAGAAGAUACAGGACUGGCUGGGAUACAUCAGGAAGAGGAGCUGCGAUGGAUGGGACUUCAAAUGGAAGUUGGUGAUUAUAUCCGUCCCAGCACCUCCCGCCUUGCAAGAGAGGCCUUAUAAAUCCUGGUCACAAGGAAGGGAAACAGAAGCUCAAGGAAGAGAGAGCCAUGGCUUCCUAGGUGUCAGUGAAGACCCAGACGCUGAAACUAUAACCGCCUAGUUCAGAAACCUAUACUUUGCUUGACCACAAUCCAAGCAGGGGGUGGGGAUGGGAUGUUUUUCUGCAGGGCUGGACAUAGAGUCAGUGUUCAGAGCACAUUGUUGGAGAGAGGAAGGAUGGGUGAGUGAAUAAGUGAAGAAAUGAAUGAGAGAACAGAACCACUUUGAG